GACGAACGCUGGCGGCGUGCUUAACACAUGCAAGUCGAACGGAAAGGCCCUGCUUUUGUGGCGUGCUCGAGUGGCGAACGGGUGAGUAACACGUGUGUAACCUGCCCUUGACUUUGGGAUAACUUCAGGAAACUGGGGCUAAUACCCGGUAGGAUCUCCUGCUCCAUGGGGGGGGUUGGAAAGUUUCGGCGGUUGGGGCUGGAUUCGCGGGUUAUCCGCUUGUUUGGCGGGUAGUUGCUUUCCAAGCGUUUGACGGGUAGCCGGCAUGAGAGCGUGACCGGCGUCCUGGGGACUGCGAUACGGCCCAGACUCCUACGGGAGGCAGUAGUGGGGAGUAUGACAGAGUGGCGGGAAGUCAGAUGUAGCAACGCCGCGUGCGGGAUGACGGGUUUCGGGUUGUAAACCAAUUUCGCCGUAACUGAAGCGUGCGUGACGGUAAUGGGUAAGGAAGCCCCGGCUAACUACGUG
rnacentral:rRNA from 1 species